ACUGACAACGGAGCAGCCAUCAGGACCUUUGGGACGGAGGAAGACGACUUUACCUCCACUGAAACAAGAAAUAACUCUUUCUUCCCUCUCAGGCACUGCAACCGCUGGCCCUUCAAAUUGGCCACACACGCACUGCCAAUCAAAUUGCCAUGGGCAGGAACUGCAGAGAUGGGGAUGUCCACCAGUUUUUUACAACCGGCCAGACAGGCACCAGCAGAAUGAUUCAGGGAGGAUUUCUGGAGGCCCAGAUAUCUCUCACUCAACAGACUCAUCAGCAUCGUCAAACUCACCUCAGACAAGCCAGAGACAAGAGAAGACAUAAAGCUGUCUACACAGCCACUGUUCGAAGCCCCAAUGCCGAAGGGAUCCAAAGGCUGAAACUCGUGAGAAGGCCCACAGAGAAGGACAUCUUCUGGGAUGAGACCACAGGACAAAGGUUGGACCCCAACUGCCUCCUGAAGCCAGAAUCUCUCUUUGAUGAAGAGACAGAAGAAGCAGCCGAACAAACAGCUUCCGUGCACUGCAGAUAGAAGAAGAGACUGAGCUCAUGGUCUUAAAAGCAGGAAGUAAGAAAUGUUCAACAAACUGGACAUCGGGGACUUUUUUUUUUUAGAUAAAGACGUAUCACAGACAAGUGAAAGGAAAACAGUGAGGAGACGGCUGUAGCUAAGUGCAGAGACGUAGUUGGAUGUGAGCUGAGUCUGCUUGAAGCAGUCAGACAGGGAGGAUAAGAGGAACAACAGGGAUCCUGGACUGUAAGCUGCAGCAAGAGCACUUUGUAUUGAGUAAUCAGGAUUAGAACAGAUAAAACAUAAAGUCAGAUGAUGCCAAUUAAUUACUAAAUAGCUAUUGCACAACUUGGCAAAGACAAAUCUACAUUAAAAAAUUCAAGCUUUCUGAAACGAUCAUGUUCUGUUGCUUCUUUUAUGGUUAG
ensembl:lncRNA